GGGGAGAGAGAUCUGUCCACUGAGAACAAGAUGUUGGGAUAGGGAGCAAAGACAGAGUCUGGCUCCUACUCUCUCUGCUCCCAGAGUUCCAAGAGUGAACUCUACAGUUCAUAGAACUUAUUUGAGGAAUCCGAGAAUAGAGAGGGUCAUUGUCAUAAUGGGUUCCUGGCUUUUGUAGGUCCCCCAAACUUCAGCACAACUGACUCCAUGAUGGCAGUACCAUUCAGGCCAUAAAACUCAGCAUGUAGACAGCACCACCAGCCAAAACAAAAACAAAGACCUAAUCCAUCAAUGCCCAUAGAUCUUGGAAAGUCCCUAAAUGUACUAAUCUUGCUUUUUGGCUUCUGUAGUUCCACUUCUAGCUAACUGUUCUUGUUAACUGAAGUAUGUCGAGCCAAGAUAUGGACUUUGUUCUUUAAAGCUCGCCCUGAGAAAGACUCAGUGCUACACUGGGAUCCUGACCAGGUCUUCCAGUUCAUCAGGACUGGGGAGAGAGCUCAGCAGGUGAAAGGAAACACGCGUAAGUAUGAGAACCCAGGUUCAAAUCCCAAACCCAUGCAAAAACGCAGCCCUGCAGCUCUGGUGCUGUGGUGGGGCUGAGACAGACAGGUUUCCUGAGAUUUUCUGGUAGGUGGCCUAGCUCCAGGGUCAGAAGGAGACCCAGUCUCGUGGAAAUGAAAGCAGGACACAGGGUGUCUCUCCUCUGGCCUCUGUGUAUAAGGUUACAUGCCCAUACCACACAGAUGUACGCUACAGGCUUCCGGAUGUACACAUACCCCCCACACACACACACACACAUACACAGAACCCAUCCAUUCAUGCUGUUAGGUGAAUUCACAGAGGUGAAGGGGAAGACAAGCAGGUCAGUGAGGAAAAGAUAGGCUGAAACACUGUUGCAAUCUCCACAGUUAAAAAAAAACAAAAAAAAAACAAAAAACUUGGGCAGGAAGCAGUGAUCGCUGAAUCUAGAGAUAAUGUCUGCUAAGGGACAGGUAUUUCCUCAGUCCGUUUGUGUUUCUCAGGAGACAGCUUUUCCAUUUGCAAGGAGAAAAUUGUAGGUAUUUAGUGGAGAAACCAGAUAACACGUGGAUCAGGUGGUCAUCUAUCUUUAACCGCUCCAGGGGCAGUUGGACACCUCCAGCUAAGAUGCGGAAAGAAGCCAUUGUGUGGGCACCACUUGGCUUACCUCCUCCCAGGGGACCCCAGACCUCCAUCAAGGCAUGAGGAAGCACCAGGCUGCAACAGCUAGGGAACAGCUCUCAAACCAACUGACCCCGGUUCUUUAAACUGCAGUGUGGGGAUAGAGAGGGUUGAGAAGAUGAGGGACGAGGGAGGGCAUGGGAGAUGGCAGGUGCAGUGUAUGAAGGCCCCUGGUGGAAGAAGAGAACCCUGGCUUCCUGCAUGGUGUCCUCUGUCAUAUGCUUCAUGUCUGUGUACCACAUGAAUGUCUCAUACCCACAGAAGCCAAAAGAAGAGAUCGGAUUAUCUAGGAUUGGAAUUAUAGGUGGUUUAUGUGCUGCCUGGUGGGAAAAUUGAAGCCAGGUCCCCUGGAAGAUGAACUGCUGAAAGAGCUCUCCAGGCCCUGAUUCCUGAUCUCUUCUGUGUGUGAGAGUGGGGCGGGGCAGGUCCUGAAGUACAUACAGAGGCCAGAGGCCAACCCCAGGUAUCAUUCCUUUGGAGCCAUCCACCCUUUCUCUCUUCCUCCCUUCUCUCCUCCCUCCCUCUCUCCCUCCUUCCUCCUUUCCUUUCCUCCUCCCUUUCAUCACUAUGUGUGUACAUGUGUACCUGUGUGCACACAUGUUGGAGGUCAGAGAAUGACUUCAGGGUGAGUGCCUGCUCUCUAUCUUGUUUGAAAUAGGCUCUCCUGUUCCCCGCUUUGCUCAAUCUGUAACGGACAUGAGCAGUCAGUUGGGAUAGCUCAUUGCUUUGGGCCCGGUGUUUGUUCGUGUGUAUUUUAUGCCUCUAAGCCCUACGAGGACCCUCCUGUCUUUAUUCCCCCACAUCCCAGUAGGAACUCUGGGUUUUAUGUGGAUUCUGAGGAUCUGAACUCUGAUCCUUAAGCUUCCACUGCAAGUGCUUAAUCCACUGAGCCAUUACCCCAGUCCUCAUCUUGUUUUGGGGGACAGGAUCUCUCUUUAGGUCCUGGGGCUGGCCAGUGAGCCUCAUAAAUCUGCUUGCCUCAGCCUCCCCAGCACUGGGAUUACAAGUACUGGGCUAUUCUUCCCAGUUUCUUAUCUAUGGGUUCUGGGUACUGAACUCGGAUGCCCAUGCCAUCCCUCCAGCGACUGCAACUACCACUCUAGUGAAUAUCGUCCUCUCAGCCCGAUGGCUCUUGUCCCUGGUGUCACCUGAGGAUUUUUUUCCUAAAGUAUCCAGCAUAAAAAAUGAGCUAUGGUGUCCACUCUUGCUGAGUUACCUAACUGGAUAAAGAAAGCGGGUGGGGGAGUUCUGAGUACUAGAGUGAGUUUCUACCACUGAUAGGGAGUAAUUUCCAGAGGAAGGAAAUAAUGUAGACAUACUAGUCAUAAAGAUGGGCCACAGGUGAUUUUACGGAUAGUUCCCUGAGAGAAUAUUUCCUGUGGGCAUCUUGACUUUACCUGCGUGCACACUGUGACGGUUGCACAGAGGUGGAAUCACUUGAGACACUGUUCUCACCUGAGAACUGCCUCUGUGAUCCCAGCCCUUUGGAGGUGGAGGAUCAGGAUUUCAAGGCCAUUCGUGUACACGGCCAUACACAGAGAGUUUAAGGCCAGCCUGAGCUAUACCAGACCCAAAUUAACCCCCUUCCAAACAAGACAUUUUCCUCAGAACAUUCCUGUAGUCUUAGGGAGUUAAGUAGUAUGUGAGUGCAGUGUCAGAUCCUGCUCUGAAGGAGGCUGAAAACUUUUUCUCCUCUCUUGAUUCAAUUAUUUGUUUUGGUUGUUUUUUCUUUUUUUAAAGAUUUAUUAGGGGCUGGGGAUUUAGCUCAGUGGUAGAGCGCUUACCUAGGAAGCGCAAGGCCCCAGGUUUGGUCCCCAGCUCCGAAAAAAAGAACCAAAAAAAAAAAAAAAUUUAUUUAUUUAUUUCAUGUAUUGAGUACACUGUAGCUGUCUUUAGAAACACCAGACGAGGGCAUCAGAUCCUAUUACAGAUGGUUGUGAGCCACCAUGUGGUUGCUGGGACUUGAACUCUGGAGGAGCAGUCAGUGCUCUUAACUGCUGAGCCAUCUCUCCAACCCCCCUUGCUUAGUUUUUUUUUUUCAAGACAGGCUUUCUCUGUAUAGCCCUGGAACCUGCUCUGUAGGCCAGGCUAGCAUUGAACUCAGAGAUCUGUUUGCCUCUGCCUCCUGCAUUGAUUCAGUUCCUUCUACAUAUUUUACCCAUUUUGCAUGCCCGGGGAUCAGACUCUUCGCCUGUGCACAUAGCAAGCACUCCACACAGAGCUAGAUCUCUAGCACCAACAGCCGAUUUCUGGUCUUUCAGUUCUCUAUUCCUCAUGACUCAGUGGUCACAAGUGCCCCACAGGGCAUUGGCAGAGAUAACCCAGGGCUAAAGGCUCCUUUUCAAGAUAGGUUCCAUACACGGCCAGUUGCCUGAAAGCUCAGCGAGAGUUAUGGUACACAGCCCUCUCACUCCCUGUCCACAAGAGCUUCCCACAGGGCACUGCAUUGCCUUACAACUUCUUGACUGUCGUCCUAGAGUCAGCAUCCUGAGAGAACAAAGCAGACAGGUGUGUGUUUUCAUAGUCUAACCCCACACAUUGUGUAGCCAAUUUUCCUUACACCGCCACAGCUUGAGGCAGUCUCAGGGGCUGCUAUGGCUUCAAAAAAACGGGAAAUAGAAAUCACACCUCUUGAUUUGGGAAGGAUAUAAGGGAGUGAAAGAGUCUAAGCAUAUAGACUCGGUCACAAGUCUUUGGUUUUGAGAAAUAGCAUAGAAAGAUGUGGUUAAUAGGCUUCAAGUUGAAUACAGGCACAUACAGUUGACUCUCUGCCUUUGCAGGUUUUGAAUCUGCAAAUUUAGCCAUUGUCCAACUAAAGAGCAUGGGAAAGAAAUUAAGUUCUUAUCAUUAUUCCCUAACAAUGCAUUAUGGCAGGUUUGUACUUGGCGUUGACAUUUUAUUAGGUACUAGAAGUAACCAGAGGGCUGGGGAGAUGACUCAGCAGGGAAAAGCUGUGGCCAUCCAACCCUGAAAACUUGAGGUAUAUCUGUAGAUCUCAUGAUGAAAAGAGAGAGCCGUCUCUCCAAAGUUGUCCUCUGACCUCCACACAUGUAUCAUAGCAUAUACACAGGAAGGGAGAGGGACACACACACACACACACAGAAAGACAGCCGGAUACAGAGACAGACAGACAGACAGACAGUCGCCCUAGGAUUGUACCCUUUGAAGAGGAGUGCUGCCCUGUGGCGGGCAAUGCAUGGGGAGAAACAGAGAGCUGGAGAGGACACAACAGAAAACUAGUGAUGUCAGCUAAGGACAGUGGCCAUGGGAAGUUGGCAGAUGUCAUUUGUUCCUGCCAUAGCACAUUUAUAGAAAUGAGGCUAAAUAAAGUAUGGCGACAGUUGGAGAUGUUUGCAUUGCUGCAGAGUAAGCAAAAGUGGCUGUAAGGGAACACGUGGAUUACAUUUGUACAGGAAGACGAUCGACAGGAAGAGAAAACAGGAGCCAACACCUCACUCAACAGGCAGAUCCACGGAGGCAGGAAGUAGAAGAGGGUGUGCUGGGGUGGGUGGGGGAAACAUCUGCUAGUGGAUAUGCAUUUGGGGAGAAGGGGGAAUGAUGAAAGUGGUCUUAAUUGUUGGGGUGAUGGCUUAUAAUUUUGUGAAUAUACCAAGAGCCACUUGUACCAUUUGGAGGAACUCUGCGGUAUGUGGGUUAUGUCUCAGUAGAGCUGACAUUUUAAAAGGCAAACAUGGGACUGAAUACAAAUGCAAAUACACACCCAUAUAAAUUAAAAACAAUCUGCUUCGUAGAACAAAUAACAUAUGACCGCAGCAGUGUUAAUCUACAUCCCUGUGCUAAUUCCCACAUCCUGUGACUCCUGCGGAUUUCUUCUGUGUCUUUCUGUGCCUCAUCCAGCUUGACUCCAGGGGUGGGCCUGACUGAGUUGAGAGAAUGUAGAAAAGACAACCAUAUAAACACAGAGAAAAGCUGCAGUCAGGUGGGGACUGGGCUCCCUAAGAUGAAGACCUCUCAAGAGUCCACAGUCUCGGUGUGUUUAUUAUACACAGGCGAACAGGGAGCUGAGGAGACUGCAGACAGCUGAACAUGGAAGGCGGCAUGUGUGGCCAGCCUCGGUAGGAGCAGUCUCUGUUGGGGAGCAGUCUUAAAACCACAGGGCUGAAAGGUGAGGGGCUGGGGAAGAAAGCCACUGUGUACAUUUUCUGCACGCAUUAUCUACAUCUGCAGUCAGACCAGAAAGGAAGGCCUUGCCAUUUCUUAUAGUUCUGAGGCACUGGGAACCAUGGCAUGGCUGUGUCACCAACACACUUCAAAUAGCCAUCACAGGUGUUUACCCCAUGAUCUGUCUCUCAGCUGAUUCCAGAUCCACUUACGGUGACAAUGAAGAUUUGACAUCAUAGUUUUUUAAAAACUCACCUUGAGUAGGUUACAAUUACAAGGCCAUAUUAAUGUAUUACCUUAUAACAUGUCAUUUGUGUUUAUUUUUUGGUAUUGAUUACAUUUAUUAAAGGCAUCUGCAGCUUUAAUCCUGCAAUCCUAAGCACCCCUUGGUAUCCUAUGGUCUGACAGCUUCAGUGAACAGUACCCCUUACAACAACGGCAGACACUGAGAUGUUCUGCUGUUCUUUUUUGUUACUUGGUAUUCCCCUUCAUUAAAAAUAGAUUUUUUCCCAUAAAAUAUAUCCAGAUUACCGUUUUUCCCCUCCUUCUACUCCUCUCAGUUCCUCUCCCACCUCCUCUCCAAUCCAGAUUCACUCCCUUUCUUCGUCUCUCUAGAAAAGAGCAGGUUUCAAAGAGAUAACAACAAAUCAUAAUAGAAAAUAGAAUAAGAUAAAACAACGACGACAACAAAAAAUCAACAACAAAUCGUGUUGAAGUUGGACGAGAUAACCCAGCAGAAGAAACAGAUUCCCAAGAGAAAGCACAAGAAUCAGAGAUCCCCUCCUUCACACACCGAGGAGUCUCAGAAAAAAUACUCAGCCGAAAAGCUCUAAUGCAUACGCAGAGGACCUGGCUAUGCACACCCGAGUCAGCCUUUGCUGUAGCUUCAGUCUGUGUGCGUUCACUUGAGCUUUGCUCACUUGAUUCAGAGGGCCUCUGUCCCCUCUGGUUCUGACACUCUUUCUGCCUCCUCUGCCAUGGGGCUCCCUGAGCUCCGAGGGGAGGGGUUUGAUAGAUCGAUGCCAUUUAGAGCUGUGCGUUACAAGCUCUCUCUCCUUUUCUCUCUGCAAAGUGUGGCUCCCUGUAUUUGCUCCCGUCUGCUGCAGGAGAAAGCAUCUCUGAUAAUUAUCUCCAGCCUUUUACUCCCUCAAACAGUGCUGAGGCGUUAAACACCUUUAUAUGCCAUUUCACACAUAGGCAGAUCGGUCCAGGGUAUGUGUACAAGGAGAGGAAGUGCAAUGUUUUAUAUUUCUACCUGAAAUGGAUAACAGUUCUGAUUUCCUGCCUUUUUUUUUUUUUUUUUUUUUUUUUUUUGGUUGUGAGCCUAGCCUUUAACGGCUGAGCCAUCUCUCCAGCCCUUUUUUUUUUUUUUUUUUUUUGAAAAGAAAAUGCCUCCAUAACAUGAGGCUGUACUGGGGCUGGAGAGAUGGCUCAGAGUUAAGAGCACUGGUUGCACUUCUGGAGGACCUGGGUUCAAUUCCCAGCACCCACAUGGCGGCUCACAACUGUCUGUAACUCCAGGAUCCAACACCCUCACACAGACAUACAUAUAGACAAAACACCAAUGUGCAUAAAAACAAUUAGAACUUAAAAAAAUAAAUCAGGCUGUACACAAUCUUGUAUGACAUUUCCUUAAUUAGUGAUGGAUUGUGGGUGGUGCCAUCCCUGGGCUGGAGGUCCUGGGUUCUAUGAGAAAACAGGCUGAGCAAGCCAGGAGAAGCAAGACAGUAAGCAGCACUCCUCCAUGGCCUCUGUUUCAGCUCCUGCCUCCAGGCUUCUGCCCAGUUUGAGUUCCUGUCUUAAUUUCCUUUAAUGAGGAGUAAUGAUAUGGAAGUGUAAGCCAGAUAAACCCUUUUCUCUCAAGUUGUUUUGGUCAUGGUUGCAUGGUCACAGCAAUAAAAACCUUGACUAAGACAGUUGGUUAAUAUCCUAUUUGCCACAUGUUGGCUUUGUGACUUUCUCCAUGUUAGAGUUACUGCUUUGUAUAAAAUCAGACAUAUUAUUAUAGAUGUUAGUUGUUCUGGAUUUUGGGUAAUGUCUGUGUCUGUGAUGUGAUGUGCACGCAUGCCAGGUGCUCCUGUGUAGGGCAGAGGGACAACCUUGUGGAGUCUGUUCUGUCUGCCUUCGCAUGGGUAGUGGGUCCCUUUGACUCACCGAAUCAGCUCACUAGCCCAAGACUUCAUCUCUAAGGUCAUAAAACAAUCCAAUCACAGCGUUCUAUGCCACAUUUAUGACUUCCUUACCAAGAGCUUUGAAAUAUUUAUUAAAAUUAAAAGUUGAACUGGGCGGUGGUGGCACAUGCCUUUAGUCCUAGCACUCAGGAGGCAGAGACAGUUCUUUGUGAGUUUGAGGCCAGCUUUGUCUACAGAGCGAGUUCCAGAGCAGCCAGAGAUACGCAGAGAAAACUUAUCUCAAAAAACAAAACAAAAAAAUUCAAACUGUAACCAACGAAACAAAAAAAAAAAAAAAAAAAAAGAAAGAAAGAAAAAUGAGAUAGGAUAUGGCCCCAUGCCUGCAGUCACUCUAGGGAAACUGUGUUGAUUAGCUUUACUCAUUGUUGCAACAAAACAUUUGACAAAAACAGCCUAGGAAAGAGGGGAAGGUUUAUUUUCACCUACAGUUCUAGCUGAAAGUCCAUCCUGGCAGGGACAGCAUGCCAACAGCCUUGUGAGGCAGCUGGUCCCACAGCGGCCACAGUCAGGAAGCAGAGAGGAGGGAAUGCUGAAGUCAGCACACGUUGUCCUUCUUACUGAGGUAUUUCCACCUCAGGGAGCUUAAUCCGGAAACUCCUUCAAAGACAUGCCCAGAGGUUUGCCUGCUGGGCCAUUCCUCUCAAAUCAAAAUCAAACACCACAGAGGCUAGGGCAGAUCACCGUCUGAGGCUAGCUGAACCGUACAGCAAGAUCCGUAUUUCUUAAAAAAGUAGGAAAAAAAAGAAAAAAAAAAAGGAAAACAGCUAGCAGUAUUUCAGGUAAAUACUGAAGUCGAGUUGGUUUCCUGUUGUAAUCCUCUAGCAGUAGGAAGGAGGUUUGUUUUGGUUUCUAUUCUGGAGCCUGGGAGGUUUGAGAUUCGUCGCCUGAAUCUGCAUCAGGUGACAGAAGCAGUCCUGACAGUGAGGAAGAGACAAAGAGACAAAGGGUCGGACAUUUUACAGCUCAUUCUUGGAAACUCUGAAAAGUUCUUGUAAAAAAAACAAACUAAUUAUCACAAGGAACACAUCAGUUUCUCAAGACCCUGCCUCCCAACUCUAUUAUGUCACUAAAACAAAUUUCAACAUGAAUUUUGCUGAGGACAAACCAUUCCGAGCCCCAGCAGCUUAUUGGGAAUAUGUCUAGCAAUAUUUAACACUAGCAUGUGAAGACUUUCAUAGAUAGCAGGCACUGCAUACAAGCAAAGCGUAACCAGCUCCUUUAAAAUACUUGACAUACAAUCAUGGGGACUAGAGUGUGGAUCCCCAGUGUCUAGAAUGAUGGCCUGCCUAUAAUCCCAACACUCAGACGGUAGAGACAGGAGAGUGCUAGAGCAAGCCAGCCUAGGCAGACUAGCCAGACCAGUGAGGUCUGGGCUCAAGUGAAAGAACCUGCCUUACUAUAUAUAAUGAAGAAGAAUUGAAGAAGACACCUGAUAUCAGCCCCUGGCCUUCACCGAGCUUGCUCUCAUGUGUAUGCACAUGAGCCUGCAUAUACACAUGUGUGCACUCAAGCGCGCACACACGUGCGCACACACACACAUACACACAUGCAAAAAUAAGUGUUAAACACUUUUAAACCUUUAACCAGUUAUCUUGUAUAUUAGGAUUAAUAUUGUUGUGCUAUCAGGUGAUUUUGGGGGUGGGGUGGGGCUGGAAUUCAUUAUGACACCUAGGCUGGUUUUGAACUUAUGGCAGUCCUCCUGCCUCAGCUCUCAAGUCCAGAAUACAGACAUGAGUCACCACACCCAGCUUGCUGUCAGGUAAAUCCUGAAAUGUUUGAAGAUUUGAAUUCGGGCAGUCUUAGAAAGGAAAAGAGGAGUUCAUCUCGUUUCCACUCAGUGCAUCUGGACUCACCCUGGGGUCUGUUUUGAUGAAUAAAAUGUAGCAGCCUGGGGUCUGUUUUGAUGGAUAAAAUGUAGCGGCAGCAGUUACUUCUACACAACUUUUGAGGCUUGCGAGUUCUCUUCUGGGAACUCAAAUGAGGCCAACCUACUCUAGGCAUAAGGGUUAGCCUAUAGCCAUCAUUCUCUGUGGGUGAGGUCAAGUUCAUAUCAAGGUCAAGCAAAACGCAGCUGUGAGCGUGACUCUCAGACCCCAGCAAGCUGCCUGGUUGAUUCCAGCCCAAGCUACCAAACCACAGAAGAGCAAGCAACUAAAUUAAGCAUUAUGAACCACUAAUUUAAAAUAUGGUUUGCAGUAAAUAAGUCCAUAAAAUUUUCUAGGGAGUUAUUGAAUUAAAAAAAAAAAAAGAAAUAAAAAGGAA